AACGAACGCAGGCGGCAGGCUUAACACAUGCAAGUCGAACGCAUCCUUCGGGGUGAGUGGCAGACGGGUGAGUAACGCGUGGGAACGUGCCCUUCAGUUCGGGAUAACCCAGGGAAACUUGGGCUAAUACCGGAUACGUGCGAGAGCAGAAAGAUUUAUCGCUGAAGGAACGGCCCGCGUCUGAUUAGCUAGUUGGUGGGGUAAUGGCCCACCAAGGCGACGAUCAGUAGCUGGUCUGAGAGGAUGAUCAGCCACAUUGGGACUGAGACACGGCCCAAACUCCUACGGGAGGCAGCAGUGGGGAAUAUUGGACAAUGGGCGCAAGCCUGAUCCAGCCAUGCCGCGUGAGUGAUGAAGGCCUUAGGGUUGUAAAGCUCUUUCGUCCGGGACGAUAACGACGGUACCGGAAGAAGAAGCCCCGGCUAACUUCGUGCCAGCCGCCGCAGUAAAAC
rnacentral:rRNA from 1 species